GACUUUCGGCGGUGAGAGGCACCGCUGCACUUCCCCCACUGUGACCUUGUACUUCCAGGUCUGUGACCUUGUACUUCCAGGUCUGUGACCUUGUACUUCUAGGUGGAGCUGAGGAGUGAGAGUUGACCCGGAACUGAACAGAAAACUUCGUUGGGGUUCACCACGCCACCAAAGAGGUUGUCCUUCUAAUGGGGAUGGCGGAGACGGCCUUGCUGUUGGACUUGGACAGGGACACAGGGCCUUUCUUAAUUACAGUUUGAUCUGGGAUGUUAAUACCCGGGUCUUCUACAUGCGGGACGUCCUCCAUGGCGUGAGAUUCCUGUAAACCGUGUAUGCGUGGAAUCAAGAAUGAUUAAGGAAAGUGCAAAGACUUGUGCACAAUGGUGCUCUGGACAUGGAGUUCAGUCCCGGAGAAAGAUUCUGGGAAUACUAUGAAGAACUGGCUUCUAGGUUUCUACAUUGGUUCACCUUUUCUCAUUAUAAUAAGCAUAAUCGUUGCGGUGUGGAAGAGAGUGAAAAAAAGUGGCUUUCCAAAGAAGAGGAAUUCCUAAGU